CUUCCGUAAGGGUGAACCUGCGGAAGGAUCAUUACCGAGUGAGGGCCCUCUGGGUCCAACCUCCCACCCGUGUUUAUUUUACCUUGUUGCUUCGGCGGGCCCGCCUUAACUGGCCGCCGGGGGGCUUACGCCCCCGGGCCCGCGCCCGCCGAAGACACCCUCGAACUCUGUCUGAAGAUUGUAGUCUGAGUGAAAAUAUAAAUUAUUUAAAACUUUCAACAACGGAUCUCUUGGUUCCGGCAUCGAUGAAGAACGCAGCGAAAUGCGAUACGUAAUGUGAAUUGCAAAUUCAGUGAAUCAUCGAGUCUUUGAACGCACAUUGCGCCCCCUGGUAUUCCGGGGGGCAUGCCUGUCCGAGCGUCAUUUCUGCCCUCAAGCACGGCUUGUGUGUUGGGCCCCGUCCUCCGAUCCCGGGGGACGGGCCCGAAAGGCAGCGGCGGCACCGCGUCCGGUCCUCGAGCGUAUGGGGCUUUGUCACCCGCUCUGUAGGCCCGGCCGGCGCUUGCCGAUCAACCCAAAUUUUUAUCCAGGUUGACCUCGGAUCAGGUAGGGAUACCCGCUGAACUUAAGCAUAUCAAUAAGCGGAGGAAACCCAGGGACGGCUGAAGUAUCCAUAUGUGCCAGGAGAAUUAACUUGUUGUUCGGCCGGUCGCCUUAACUGGCCCCCGGAGGGCUUACACCCCCCCCGCCUAAGCACCUCACUCGGGCGCAGAUUCUAUGCUGAGUGAAACUACGGAGUGAUAUGUGAGUCGCACCUCGGAUCUGAUGGUGUCGGCAUCGAAGACCAAGCACCGAAAUGCGAUACAAAAUGUGAAUUGCACAUUCGUUGAAUUAUCCAGUCUUUGAACGCA
rnacentral:rRNA from 1 species